GAAAAGAAGAAGCUGUAGUUUCUUCUUCUUGAUUUUGCAGCACAAAGCAAGUUUUGCAUCGUAUGUGUAUUGUUUACUUGACUUUGGCUAGCUAGCAUAUAAGUUGUUCCCGGAAACGAGUUUGUCACGUAGCAUGCAGUUUAGUUGCAGUUCUUUUUUUGUGUGGAGAUGUGUAGAGAUGUCAGUCUGAUUUUUUGGAUUAAAAAGCUAGAUAUUUCUGUGGUACAUUUAUCAUGGAGUGAGCCAUUUGAGUAAUGAAUUUUGGGGAAUCGGUGAUUUUUUGAUUCAAAUUCUGGCUGCAGUGAAAAAACUAAAAAUUUGGAUUUUGCUCUGUGUCACGUGAUUAUAGGUACAUGAUUAUAGGUACGGUGCUAAAUUGGAUUUGUCAGUGUAUGUACGUUCUAGGACAUGACCAAAAUGGGGUCGAGUUUGAUCUCUGAUUUAGUUUCUAGGAUUCUUAGAACAUGGCCAAAGUUUUAUUCAGUACAUGAUCAAAUUGGAUUCGUCUGAUUAAAAGGGAUUCACAUGAGUUUUAAGUAGGUGUGAUUAAGUAGUAGCGGUUUUUGUUUUUGAUGAGCUUCGAUUCACUGGAAAGUGGGUGGGUGCUUUUUGAUUCGUAGGUGGGUCGUUUCAGAGUACAAAUGAGUUUGAAUGUACACAUGAUUUUAUUCAGUAUUAGUAUAUUUGUAGUAAAAAUCUGAACAAACUGGAUUCAGUAUCAUGAUUCUGCUGUGUUUGUCUUUGUUUGAUUACUUACUGGAUGGUUCGCUCGAGAAUUUCUUAGAGGCAAACAGAUUGAGCUUAGGCUGUUGUUUUCGUCAGUUGGCAUGUUUUUUAGCUGGGUCUGCUAUCAGCCCGAACUAUAAGCAGAAUGUUUGCACCAUGUAAAAAUUGCUUGUCAUGCCCUAUGUUCAAUUCGCAGAUCGUCCUGACAACUUUUUGUUUAUAAUCUGUUCUGCCAAGCCACCGUUUCAGGGAUAGGAUGGGGAAAGCUCCUGACGAGAGGGAGAUGAAGCCUGACAAGAAAACAGCACUGGAAUUGUCUGUGCGCGCUUAUGCUGAGAAAGGAGCUGGUCAUGUUGUCAAUCCAGCAAUUGGCACAUCUUUUGACUCGUUAGAUGAGGCUUAUGAGUUCUACAACCUUUAUUCCUGGGAAUGUGGUUUUGGAGUUCGGCUAUGUUGCUCGGAAAAGGUGCAUGCAAGAGAUUGUUUGUGAUUGUGCGGUAGGUGAUCGCAAAGUGCAUUAUGUUUGAUGCCAUAAUGUUUGAUGGACUGUUUGAGCCUAACUUCCUCUAGAUUAAAUUAGUUGUGACUUGUGAGGUUUGAUGCCAUCAUGUUUCCAUGUGUUUGUAUGCUGGUUUAGUUUCUCGAUUUGGGUUGUCAGUUUUUUUUUAUUUUUUUUGCGGGGGUCGGAAUUUUCAUUUGUGCUACCAACAGUAAUUCUCUUGAUGUGUGUUAAAUUUGUCUGAACUGUUUGUUGUGUGUUGAUGGCAGUGUUGUUGUUUA